rnacentral:rRNA from 1 species
CCUACGGGAGGCAGCAGUGAGGAAUAUUGGUCAAUGGACGAGAGUCUGAACCAGCCAAGUAGCGUGAAGGAUGACUGCCCUAUGGGUUGUAAACUUCUUUUAUAUGGGAAUAAAAUGUUCCACGUGUGGGAUUUUGUAUGUACCAUAUGAAUAAGGAUCGGCUAACUCCGUGCCAGCAGCCGCGGUAAUACGGAGGAUUCGAGCGUUAUCCGGAUUUAUUGGGUUUAAAGGGAGCGUAGGUGGAUUGUUAAGUCAGUUGUGAAAGUUUGUGGCUCAACCGUAAAAUUGCAGUUGAAACUGGCAGUCUUGAGUACAGUAGAGGUGGGCGGAAUUCGUGGUGUAGCGGUGAAAUGCUUAGAUAUCACGAAGAACUCCGAUUGCGAAGGCAGUUCACUGGACUGCAACUGACACUGAGGCUCGAAAGUGUGGGUAUCAAACAGGAUUAGAUACCCCUGUAGUC